GACGAACCGUGCGAACGUUGUUCGGAAUCACUGGGCAUAAAGGGCGCGUAGGCGGCUUUUCAAGUCAGGGGUGAAAUUCGGCAGCUCAACUGUCGAAGUGCCCUUGAUACUGAUGAGCUCGAGGGAGGUAGGGGUGUGUGGAACUUCCGGUGGAGCGGUGAAAUACGUUGAUAUCGGAAGGAACGCCGGUGGCGAAAGCGACGCACUGGACCUCUUCUGACGCUGAGGCGCGAAAGCCAGGGGAGCAAACGGG
rnacentral:rRNA from 1 species